rnacentral:rRNA from 1 species
UACGUAGGGUGCGAGCGUUAAUCGGAAUUACGGGGCGUAAAGCGUGCGCAGGCGGUUUGUUAAGUCAGAUGUGAAAGCCCCGGGCUUAACCUGGGAACGGCAUUUGAAACUGGCAGGCUGGAGUGCGGCAGAGGGGGGUGGAAUUCCACGUGUAGCAGUGAAAUGCGUAGAGAUGUGGAGGAACACCGAUGGCGAAGGCAGCCCCCUGGGCCGACACUGACGCUCAGGCACGAAAGCGUGGGGAGCAAACAGG